rnacentral:rRNA from 1 species
UUGACGGGGACCCGCACAAGCAGCGGAGCGUGUGGUUUAAUUCGUUGCUACACGAAGAACCUUACCUGGGUUUGACAUAUAGGUUGUAGGGAACUGAAAGGGACCGACCCUUCGGGGAGCCUAUACAGGUGUUGCAUGGCUGUCGUCAGCUCGUGUCGUGAGAUGUUCGGUUAAGUCCGCUAACGAGCGCAACCCUCGUCGUAUGUUAUAUGUGUCAUACGAGACUGCCGGUAAAAGCCGGAGGAAGGUGAGGAUGAUGUCAAGUCAGCAUGACCUUUAUAUCCAGGGCUACACACACGCUACAAUGGUCUGUACAAUGGGUAGCCAAGCCGCGAGGCGGAGCCAAUCCUGAAAGCAGGCCUCAGUUCAGAUUGCAGUCUGCAACUCGACUGCAUGAAGCCGGAGUUGCUAGUAACCGCAGGUCAGCAAUACUGCGGUGAAUACGUUCCCGGGUCUU